rnacentral:rRNA from 1 species
CAGUCGCGACGGCUGGAAAUCAACCUUGCUUUUGCUGGGUGUACUUUCUAGUUGACGGGCCAGCAUCAGUUUUGACCGGUGGAUAAGGGCGUUAGGAAGGUAGCUCCCACGGGAGUGUUAUAGCCUGACGUCGCAUACACUGGGUGAGACUGAGGAAUGCAGCUCGCCUUUACAGGCCGGGGUUCGCCCCACGUCCGAGCUUAGGAUGUUGACAUAAUGGCUUUAAACGACCCGUCUUGAAACACGGACCAAGGAGUCUAACAUGUAUGCGAG